AACGGCUGGAGGAGAGACAAUGGACUUAGUCCACAGCUGGGUCUGCUCAGUCAGGAAGCUGACAUGAUGAUUACCACACGGAGGCAACAGCAGGACUCCAACAAAUCCUAAUGGAGUUAGUAGUACCUCUUUCUGCUCUGGGCUCAUCAUCCUCCACUGCUGGGCGAUCUUCCUGACUACAUCCACCAGCUUGAUUUCUGAAGGGGAACCAAUGAAAGGCAGACUGAUUAGAAUCACAUGAUCUGUCUCAUGCUCUUUUCUUCCUCUCAAGGUCUGCACAUUGAUCCAGGGUCAAGAAUAAGGUGCUUAUGUUUGCCAUAUUAUUGCUAAAUUUCGCAAAAGCUAAAUAAAUGAUGAUUUGGAAACAUUUUCUACCUCUUUUGUUUCCUCAUCAUUCCAUGUCAGCUUUGGCAUCUCAGUCAUUAAAUAUCACAUCCAUAUUUUUAACAAUGUUCCACUAUGGAAUAUUUAAGCUUUUAAUAUGAUAAGCUCCCAGCAGCUGCAAUAUAAAACCACAAUAUGCGCAAAAUAUUUUAAACAUUAAUUGCACAUCUGAUCAGGGGUCAUGUUAACUGAAUAUUUUUCAUCUUGGAAUGUUUUUCUAAACUAUGAUGGGAAAAUCAGAAGGUUGUCUGCUAUUUUCACUCACACCUGACCGCUUGGUGCAGACAUAUUCAAUUUUACACAAUUGAAAAUCCAAAAUUCCCCACAUGAGCAUCAUCUCUGACCUGGACUAAAUCUGCAUCUUGUUCAGACUUCUGAUCAAGAGAAAUAUGACCUGAUUUCAAAACUUUGCCCAAAGUAGAACUUGUAAUUUCAGUCUUCAGUUCAGCAGCAGAUCAACAUCCAAACCCUGAGGUUGGGAACUUGAGGAAGUCGCGAGACAGUUCGUUCAGACAGAAUCGUUCAUAACCCAGGUGUGAUUAGAGUGCAAUCGUUUCAUUUCAUGGUUCACUCUGUUCAUCACCACUCUGUGGUUUUUGUCAGUGAGGAGAAAAAGUUGCAUGUCUUCAUCUGCUUGAUGUGUGAUGACACGAUGCAGAGUCUCUGUUCAGCUUGUUCAAUAAUGAUUAAACCAAAUAAAAAUGAAAUCCAACUGAAUAUGUUAUUAUUAUCAUUUUAGGAAUUCAUGGGUAAAAAUAGAUUAUGUGACCCUGUCAGUCAACCUCUGCUCCUAAUACCUUGACUUCUGUCUUGCAAUAUUACAUUGACCGUAAUCUGACAGAACUGACCCUGGAUUUAAUGACGGCCUUUCUGUUUGUUUGCUAACUGCUAGUUAGUCUGCUUCAUAUCCUUAUAGUUAUAGCCAUUCAUUCAAUAAAUAAUGUAUGAAGGACUUUUUUGUAAUAAUUAACUGAGAAGAACCAGAUACAGACUUUAAUCCAUUACAGGUUAAAAAUAAUCACCUUAAUUUUUAUUUUCUCUAAAUAUCAUGAUUUUUAAUAUGUUGAGUUUCUGAAUCAGGAACUGAGUGUGAUUGUUCUUCAUUGUGACCUGACUAAUCUUUUAGACGUCUCUAACGUGGUUCACAGCGUUGGUGAGAAUCCUUCAUAUUCAAAGUCAGUUUAGUUUUAAUCUAAGCAAACAUCUUCAGAUUAAUCCCAACAGAAUAAAAAAUGUAGUAAUCUUACAGCUGGAACAGUAUUUAUUUGAAUAAAUGUUGAUGUCCUGUAACAGCUGGACAUUCAAAAAUCACACAGACACAUUGGUUCAGAUCUGCAGCGUCUGCCAUUACAAGUUCAGAGCUGUGAUAACACUGGAUUAACAGCUCAUCUAAUCCUCCCAGCAAAGACUUAUUAAACCCGGCUCGAGAAAAGAUUAGCAGAAGAGGCUGCUGCUGGCCAGCCGAGUUACUAGGAUACAGUAAACAUACUCUACUGUACACGCUCUUUUUAAUGGAAUAUUAUGGAUCUGACUAAGUGGAUUUCUGAUUUGUUCUGAUGAAAUGUUAAGCUUUCUUCUUAUUCAGCAUAUACUCUCCUUCUUCCAGGAGAGGGCAAGUUGUCAGAGUUUGUAACAUAGCUCAGCUGGGUCUGGAAGUGUCCAGUUAAAGCCACAGUGACCGUGAAGAGUAAAAAAAAAAAAAAACAC